UGACGCGCCGCUUAUCAGUGUUAUCACCCCUCCAGCCUCGCACCUCGUGCCGCGGCCAGUCGCGCGCCCACGCUCGUCGCAGGCGCACGUCGCGUCCCGCGCCCCGCGCCGCUCGCGUUCCCGUCACUGUCACCCCACGCGCGCUACCCCUCCCCACUUCACUUCAUCACAACACAACCAAACAAGCAUGGUACCACUCUCGCUGCGUGCAGAAAGACCAUGUGUUAUCCCGAAUUAUUGCUGUGUAGUGCCCCGUAGUGUUUGAACUAGUUUUUUUGUCUCUCAGUGUCUAUUUAUCGAUAUUAGUGUUAUAAUGUUAGUUACAUGUAAGGAUAGUUUAGUGACUACGUAGCGAGUGUCGCGUCUGCGAUGUAUUCUUUGACGUUCUGUGACGUUUGCGAAUGAUGUAACCAAUAGCGGACGCGAUACGUGUAUAGUGUUAGUGCAAAGAUUAUGCGACAGAGACGCAUUAUGUUUUGUGGCGGGUAGUUAGUGGUGCCGCGAUGUCUCUGCCGAUGAAGAGGUCGUUCAGCUCGGAGGGCGGCGCGUCCUCCAAGCGCGACUGGAAGAUGCGGCUGAGUCUCCGGAGCCGCAGCGGGCAUAGCGUUGAGGCGCUGCGCGGGCGCCGGUGCGCCUCGCUGCGCUCCGCGGCGACGCCGGUGCGCGCGGGGGCGGAGGACUCGGGCCGCAGCACCCCCUCCGCCGCGCACCGCGCCUCACCCUCCCCCGCUGAUACCCCCGCGCCUAAGAAAUCCAACUGGGAAGUCAUUGAACACUUCUCUUCUAGUAAGAGCAAGAGAAGCCCCACUGCUGUGGAAGCGGAGGGCGGGGCGGCAUCGUCGUCGCCCGCUCUGCCGCUGUGUCCCGCCGGCCGCCCCGACGCUGACGUGCAGCCACUGCUCACUGAUGAAGGUCAGGCGGAGGGGGGCGGCGGAGCAGGUGGGGCUGAAGACGAUGAGGAGCAGGACUCGGGCUGGUGGGGGCAGUGCAUGAGCACCUGCCCCGCCCCCGUACAAGAUCUCUGCACCUCCAACCGAUUUGACAACCUUCAUGUGGAAAUGCUGUACCAGCGUUAUUUCCUCCGCAUGAACCAGACUAACAUGACGCACCUGCUGGGUCUGCUGCUGGCAGUAGCUGUCGGCCUCAUGGCUGUGCAGAUUCAGACGCUGCUGGUGGCACAAGGCCUGCUCAGCCAGGCCGAGGCCCUCAACAACACCUAUAUGGACAACUUUAACCGUGACAGCCUACAUGACCCUCACCGCUACAUGAACGUGACGACCAGCCGUUACCACGAGGCGCUCGCAGCCAUCAACGCCACGCAACACGAGCGCCUCAUGUACGAGAAGGAGAGGGUCGCCCACAUCGUUAACAUCAUCAUCCUCGGAAUUACUGCUCUGGUAUACGCCUGCUUACUGGCGUGCCUGAGCCGCCCGGCUAUGAACGAAAUCUACCUGCUGACCAUCUCCUACGUGGUCCUUGUGACCUUCCUGCUUAUCGAACUGGCUCUCACCGGCACCUCCGUGCUGCGCUCGCUGAGCAUCAGCACGGGCGCCUGCGCUCUGCUGACUUACGCGACGUACGCGACGCUGCCGGUGCGGCUGCACGAGGCCACUGUCGCCGGCCUCGCGCUGGGCAUCGUCAACAUCGGAGCCCACCUCAUGCUGGACUAUGCUGCUGAUGUUCACCAAAUCUACUGCUCCGUGGCGACCCUGAUCGCGUGCAACCUGGCCGGCAUCAUGACCCACAACCCUCGGGAGCUGGCACAGCGACGCGCCUUCUUGGAGACGCGCGACUGCGUGGAGGCACGCCUUGUGACGCAGCGAGAGAAUCAACAACAGGAACGUCUCCUGCUGUCGGUUCUCCCGCGUCACGUCGCCAUGGAGAUGAAGGCUGACAUCGCCAACCAGCCGCGCCAGGAGCAGUUCCAUAAGAUCUACAUCCAGCGCUAUGAGAAUGUCAGCAUCCUGUUCGCUGACAUCUGCGGCUUCACCUCGCUAUCAGACCAGUGCACCGCCGAGGAGCUAGUCCGCCUUCUCAACGAGCUCUUCGCCAGAUUCGACCGCCUGGCAGCAGAACACCACUGCCUCCGCAUCAAGCUGCUGGGUGACUGCUACUACUGCGUGUCGGGGCUGCCGGAGGCGCGCGACGACCACGCCAAGUGCUGCGUCGAGAUGGGGCUGGACAUGAUCGAUGCUAUUGCGCUGGUCCGCGAGGUGAUGGCGGUGAACGUGAACAUGCGCGUGGGCAUCCACACUGGCCGCGUGCACUGCGUGGUGCUGGGCCUGCGCAAGUGGCAGUUCGAUGUCUGGUCCAACGAUGUCACCCUCGCCAACUACAUGGAGAGCGGUGGCGUGGCUGGACGCGUACACAUCACGAAGGAGACACUGCGCUGCCUGGGUGAUGACUACAAGGUGGAACCAGGCUACGGCGGACUGCGCAACGCAUACCUGAAGGACCACAACAUCGAGACCUUCCUGAUUGUGCCUGAUGAUACUAGCCGCGUUGACAAGAAGCCGCAGCACUCGUUCUCGCUGAACGGCAACGUGUCAAAGGAGAUGCGCGUCAUGGGACACGGCUCGCAGCACGGCAAGCAUUCAUCCAAUAGGAUCGGCGUGGACUCCGGCAAUGAGAACAAGAAGCCAGAAGACGAAGUGAACGAGUACCUGAUGAAGGCGAUCGACGCGCGCUCCACCGACCGCCUGCGCGCCGAGCACUGCCGCCCCUGCACGCUCACCUUCCGCGACUCCAAGCUCGAGCAGAAGUACACGGCGGAACGCGACCGCAUGAUGAAGGUGUACUUCAUCUGCACGCUGGCCAUCUUCCUUGCCGGCACCGCCCUGCAGUUCCUCGCCUACAACCUGUCGCCUCUGGGAAUUGCUACCAUCAUCGUUGCUGGCAUCAUCAUCUCUUCAUUGACGUACCUGAUCAUCUGCCUGGACUUCGAGCACGCGAGCGCCCGCCUGCGUGAGAUGUCCCGCGUCGUGCACAACAACCGCACGCUCUCGCAGCUGAUGUCCUUCAUCGUGGUCACCAGCUUCAUCGUCCAGAUCCAGGUCGUCAUGGGGAUAUAUGAGGCCAGCUUGCAAGGCUUGCAGGACACCAACGCCACGCUCAGCCGCCAGUCCGACUUCCAGCACUGCCCCUUCGAUCAGAACGAGCACUACUUGCAACUGACCCUGCUGGCGAUGUUCCUGUGCGCCGUGCACCAGAUCCUCAUCACGAUGGUGAAGCUGGUGCUUCUGGCGCUCACGUGCGCUGCCUACGUGGCUGUCACCGCGCACCAGCACAUGCUGUUCAAGGACCAGUUCUCUGACUACCUGCUCCGAUGCGGGCUGGACUGGAACCAGCAGUGGACCAACGUGGUGAUUGCCCUGGGUGCGACUGUGGCGCUGUUACUGCACUCGCACCAGACCGAGAGCACCUACCGCCUGGACUUCAUCUGGAAACUGCAAGCUAAUGAUGAGAAGGAGGAGAUGGAACACCUGGAGGCGUACAACCGCAAGCUGCUGGCGAACAUCCUGCCCGAGCACGUGGCGCAGCACUUCCUCUGCAGCGACAAGAACAUCGAUGAGCUGUACCACGAGCAGUGCGAGUCUGUCUGCGUCAUGUUCGCCUCCAUCCCGAACUUCUCCGAGUUCUACGUGGAGCUGGAGGGCAACAACGAGGGCGUGGAGUGUCUCCGACUCCUCAACGAGAUCAUUGCUGACUUCGACGAGAUCCUGGCCGAGGACCAGUUCAAGUACAUCGAGAAGAUCAAGAGCACUGGUGCUACGUACAUGGCUGCUUCGGGUCUGACAGCUGCCACCCGUGACCUCCGCGGCUUCCGUCACGUGACCGCGAUGGCGGACUACGCACUGCGCCUUCGCGAGCAGCUGCAGUAUGUCAACGAGCACUCUUUCAACAGCUUCCGUAUCCGCAUCGGUGACGGAGGAGGUGUACGAGAUCCUGUCGACGCGAGGCUACAAGCUGCGCUGCCGUGGCAUGAUUGAUGUCAAGGGCAAGGGCAAUAUGGUCACGUACUUCCUGGAAGGCGUCGGAGAGACCACCCUGCCCGGUGCCAAGGACAUCUAUAAUAACCCGCAGCCAUCGACCUCUGGCACUUGCCAUGAGCAUGGCAACCAGGAGACCUCGUGCCGGCCGGAGCACCGCCCUCUAGAGACCCUCUCUGAGGGCCACACUGAUGAGGAUGGUGGACCAUCGCCCCGUGCAUCCAUC
rnacentral:misc_RNA from 1 species